UCAAGAAGAUCCAGUGUCAUCGGCUCGCCCAACCCCGGCCUCGGUACUUCUCUCACUUCCAUUUCUGAUCCUCUUUUUAUUUUACUUUUCUCCUGUUGAUUUGUUGGAUUCUUGAAGUUUCUGAAAAAUAAUUAGAAUAAAACAGGAACGUCAAGCGAGUGGACAGGAUGAGGUACCUACAAAUGCACAGGCAGGGCCUUCAUCAGGGAGGAAGCCGCGGAAGCCUCGCAAGUUCAGGCCAGGGACUGUGGCUCUUUGGGAGAUACAGAAGUAUCAGAAGUCCUGUGAGCUGUUGAUACCCGCAGAUCCUUUCAUUCGAUGUGUGGGUAAGGGAGCUAACUGCUUUCUAUUCUAGGGGAGUUAAUUGUUGGAUGGCUGAAGCUUUAGUAGCAAUCCAAGAGGAAGGAGCAAUUUGCAUCUUAGUUGGCCGAUCCGCUAUAAUAUUUGCUUGGGGACAGCAAGAGGUCUGACUUAUCUUCACGAGGAGUUGAGACGAUAUAUCAUACACAGGGAUGUCAAGGCCAAUAAUAUUCUGAUCGAUGCAGAUCUCAAUCCAAAAAUUUCAGAUUUUGGUCUGGCCAAGCUGUAUGAUGAGAAUGAGACCCACAUUAGGACACAUGUCGCAGGGACGACGUAAGCACUGGUGGACCCUUUCCUUGAUUUGUUCCACUGCAGAAGCAGUACCAUACAUGUAAUCCAAUCCAGACCACCCAAAUCACACACCCUAACGUGGUGAAAGCAAAACUUAGUUAAAUUGUGCCCUACAAAUAGACAUGUCAUUGAAAGUUACAAGAUAAUUGCCAUAUUGCUGUUGUAGAACACUGUCGAAAGUUAUGUGAAGGCUCUCCAUGUAAAAUUAUUUCAUUGUAACAGUUCUGCGGAUGACAUGUCCGUCAAUUCAAAAUCAUGUCGUUUGAGACUAUGGGUGGCCCUUGAUUGAGUGGAAUGGUGGAACAGGAUUCAUGUAGCCAACCCUAAUUAAUUGGGAUGAGGCUUCGUCAUCUGAUAUUAUGGAUUAUUGUAAAUUUAAAAUCACGUAAUUUCUUUGCUAUGUCUCUAAGCAUACCUAUACAUGCAUACCAGCGUCUACUAGCAUAUCUAGCUAUCCAAGAAUUUGGCUUGAACCAAGAGGCUUAAUGGGUAGUUGCCACUUCAGUUUUUGAUGGUUUGCUUUUCAAUUUUUACGAGGACGUGGAACUGUUGUCACAGGCCGUGUUGAACAAGGGACUAUUAAAGUUGGAGAAGAUGUAGAGAUUUUAGGUUUAAUGCAGGUUGGACAAGAACAGGCGACUUGUACUGCAAAGGAACUACGUGAAAUUCCUGGUGGCACUUGUUGAUGCACGUGGAGGGGCAUGCUUGUGGAGCUAUAUAUCUCUUUGGAGAAAUGCAACAAGAAAGGGUUAAAGAGGAUGAAUAUAGAAAAUAAGACGUGUCAGGUAAUCUAUUUAUGAUUCUUGCUGUUUGAUUAUGGACUGCUAUGGUCUAUCCUCAUGGUGGCCUGUCAGAAGGAUGGUGUAGGUCCCUAGUUCAAAAACCUGAAACUUCGUACUUGAUGUUCGGCAGGUCAUGUUUUAUACCCACUUUGCCCAUCCAUUGCACUAGCUAAUGUUAGGACAUGAACCAAAAGUUGUUUGCUAAAAGAUACUCUGUGAAUAUUUUUUGUUUUUCGGUGAAUUUAGAUAUCGUA